ACGUAGGGUGCGAGCGUUAAUCGGAAUUACUGGGCGUAAAGUGUGCGCAGGUGGCCGCGCAAGUCGAGUGUGAAAUCCCCGAGCUUAACUUGGGAAUUGCGCUCGGAACUACGUGGCUCGAGUGUGGCAGAGGAAGGUGGAAUUCCACGUGUAGCGGUGAAAUGCGUAGAGAUGUGGAGGAACACCGAUGGCGAAGGCGGGUUGCUGGGCUGACACUGACGCUGAGGCGCGAAAGCUAGGGGAGCGAACGGGA
rnacentral:rRNA from 1 species